rnacentral:lncRNA from 1 species
AGAUGAUCCACUCAUGUAUGGCAUUUAAAAAUGAAAUCUCAGAACAAGAAAAUGAGAGAGAUCCAUAGCUCGAUAUAAUUAAGUGGAAUAGUUAAAAUGAAGCAAUCCAGAAGCAUCUUUUCAAUUAGCAAUUAAGGGAGUUCCCGUCGUGGCGCAGUGGUUAAAGAAUCCGACUAGGAACCAUGAGGUUGCGGGUUCGAUCCCUGGCCUCGCUCAGUGGCCUGAGGAUCCAGCGUUGCUGUGAGCUGUGGAGUGGGUUUCAGACUCGGCUUGGAUCCCGAGUUGCUAUGGCCCUGGUGUAGGCCGGCGGCUACAGCUCCGAUUCGACUCCUAGCCUGGGAACCUCCAUAUGCGGCGCAGGAGCGGCCCAAGAAAAAGGCAAAAAGAUGAAUGAAUAAAUAAAUAAAUAAAAUUAGCAAUUAAGGUGUAAGACCAGUUAUUGAACACUAAGAUUAAACUGGAUUAAAUUAUUCGUUACAAUAAAAAUCAUUUAAAAAACUAUUCAUUACAAAUUUUAAUGCAAAUGAUCUUUUCCUUCUGCAAAGCCCUUGAAGACUUUUUAAAAAAUUCUUACAGAUAAAAAUUAUAACAAUUUCCAUGGAGUUCCCGUCGUGGCGCAGUGGUUAACGAAUCUGUCUAGGAACCAUGAGGUUUCGGGUUCGGUCCCUGCUCUUGCUCAGUGGGUUAACGAUCCGGCGUUGCCGUGAGCUGUGGUGUAGGUCGCAGACGCGGCUCGGAUGCCAAGUCGCUGUGGCUCUGGCGUAGGCCGGUAGCUACAGCUCCGAUUCAACCCCUAGCCUGGGAACCUCCAUAUGCCGAGGAAGCGGCCCAAGAGAUAGCAACAACAACAACAAAAAGACAAAACAAAAAAAAAAAAAAAAAAAAAGGAGGGUUGAAAGAUGACAGUCCAUCAGCAGGUAAAGAGAAAUACAUGCUAAAUGCAAGCUCCAUUAGAAAUGAGGCUGGGGGUAUGCUUGCACAUGGAGAAAGUAGAAAAAGUUUGAUAGUUACGGAAAAAAAAAAAAAAAAAACUAAAGGGGAAAAUAAUGAAUAAUUAGAGGCUCCAAGAGAGAAAGGGCAAUGCUCAAGUUUUAUUUUGAAGCAUGGUUAUUUCUGCACGCUCUGAACUUUCAAUAAUGGAUAAGUUUAGUAUAGUGCUCUUGCAAGUGAACAAAACAGCACGAGACAGGGCAAGUCAAGCCAGACGGUCCACCUUCCCACACGGUUGGUCCCCUUCAGCCCGGGCCCACCGCUCAGAGGGCUGACCACACGGCACACGGCACACGGCACAAGCAACGAGAGCACCCUCACCAUCUAGGAGCAAGCACACCAGUGCCCAGGCAGAUUUUAGGAACUGUGCUUCUCCGAGACUCUCCCUGAUGCCUAACGUGUUUAACUUCUUUUUUUUUUUUAAAGAGCAU